rnacentral:rRNA from 1 species
GCGAGAAAACUUUGCAAUGUGCGAAAGCACGACAAGGUUAAUCCGAGUGGUUUCUGCUAAAGGAACCUUUUGUCAGUCCUAGAAACACUGAUGAAUAAGGGGUGGGCAAGUUCUGGUGUCAGCCGCCGCGGUAAAACCAGCACCUCAAGUGGUCAGGAUGAUUAUUGGGCCUAAAGCAUCCGUAGCCGGCUCUGUAAGUUUUCGGUUAAAUCUGUACGCUCAACGUACAGGCUGCCGGGAAUACUGCAAAGCUAGGGAGUGGGAGAGGUAGACGGUACUCGGUAGGAAGGGGUAAAAUCCUUUGAUCUAUUGAUGACCACCUGUGGCGAAGGCGGUCUACCAGAACACGUCCGACGGUGAGGGAUGAAAGCUGGGGGAGCAAACCGGAUUAGAUACCCGGGUAGUCCCAGCUGUAAACCAUGCAAACUCAGUGAUGCAUUGGCUUGUGGCCAAUGCAGUGCUGCAGGGAAGCCGUUAAGUUUGCCGCCUGGGAAGUACGUACGCAAGUAUGAAACUUAA